rnacentral:rRNA from 1 species
UACGUAGGGAGCGAGCGUUGUCCGGAUUCAUUGGGCGUAAAGAGCUCGUAGGCGGCUUGAUAAGUCGGAUGUGAAACCUCCAGGCUCAACCUGGAGUCGCCAUCCGAUACUGUCAUGGCUAGAGUCCGGUAGGGGCCCACGGAAUUCCUGGUGUAGCGGUGAAAUGCGCAGAUAUCAGGAGGAACACCGGUGGCGAAGGCGGUGGGCUGGGACGGUCACUGACGCUGAGAGCGACGAACGUGGGGAGCGAACAGG